GUCUAUGGCCAUGCCACUCUGAACAAGCCCAAUGUCUGAUCCUGGAAGUGAAGCAGGGUCAGGCCUGGUUAGUAUUUGGAUGGGAGACCAUCUAGGAAGACCAGGUGCUGUACAAU
rnacentral:rRNA from 1 species